rnacentral:rRNA from 1 species
AGUGAACGCUGGCGGUAGGCCUAACACAUGCAAGUCGAACGGCAGCACAGUAAGAGCUUGCUCUUACGGGUGGCGAGUGGCGGACGGGUGAGGAAUACAUCGGAAUCUACUUUUUCGUGGGGGAUAACGUAGGGAAACUUACGCUAAUACCGCAUACGACCUACGGGUGAAAGCAGGGGAUCUUCGGACCUUGCGCGAUUGAAUGAGCCGAUGUCGGAUUAGCUAGUUGGCGGGGUAAAGGCCCACCAAGGCGACGAUCCGUAGCUGGUCCGAGAGGAUGAUCAGCCACGCUGGAACUGAGACACGGUCCAGACUCCUACGGGAGGCAGCAGUGGGGAAUAUUGGACAAUGGGCGCAAGCCUGAUCCAGCCAUACCGCGUGGGUGAAGAAGGCCUUCGGGUUGUAAAGCCCUUUUGUUGGGAAAGAAAAGCAGCAGGUUAAUACCCCGCUGUUCUGACGGUACCCAAAGAAUAAGCACCGGCUAACUUCGUG